CAACAAAGAUUGGAUUCUACUCUCAUCUAUUCAUUUUAGGCCCUGAUUCUUGAAAUCAAGUGAUUAUUAAGGUCCCCAUGGAUCAUACCAAUUCAAAGAUUAGAACAGAUGCACCACCAAGCAAUACUCCAAACUGGACAAUUAAUGUUUCAGAUGUGAGGAAAAUACUUACUAAAAGUGCACACUAGUCGGUGCUUA